AUUGCAUAAUCUUUAAAAUAGGAGGGUGAUUCAUUUAUCUUUCUCUAGCCAAACGCAAGCUGCUUCCCCAUCAAAACCCUAAAAAAAAUGUCGGGCGGGUUUUUCCGUGGCACGUCUGCUGAUCAAGACACUCGAUUCUCCAACAAGCAAGCGAAGCUGUUGAAAUCGCAGAAGUUCGCUCCUGAAUUGGACCAUCUGGUGGAUACGAGGAAAAUGAAGAUGGAUGUUAUUAGACCAUGGAUUGCUACUAGAGUGACGGAGCUUCUCGGAUUUGAAGAUGAAGUUCUUAUCAACUUCAUUUAUGGCCUGCUUGAUGGAAAGGAAGUGAACGGGAAGGAGGUUCAAAUAUCGCUUACGGGAUUCAUGGAGAAAAACACUGGGAAGUUUAUGAAAGAGCUUUGGACACUUCUUCUUAGUGCGGGGAAGAAUGAAAGCGGCGUUCCUCAACAGUUUUUGGAUGCCAAAGAAGAAGAAACACGGAAGAAGCAGGCAGAGGUCGAUAGGAUAGCAAAUGAAAUCCAGAAGAAGAAGGAGAUAGAGAAGGAGAUGAGAGAACUUGAGAGGGAAAAAUUGAAGAAGAUGGACAUUGAGGUUGAAAAGAAAGCCAAUAAUGCUAUGGAGCCAGCCUCAAAGCACAUGCUGCCUAAGGGUUCAAGUGGCCAUGCUGAGGAUGAGAAAGAAACUGAAAUGAGGAAUGGCGCAAGAGGAAGGAAAAGGGUUUCUAGGUCUCCUCAUUCGACUGAUCGUUCAUUUUCAUCUCCUCGAGGCUCACCUUCUAGGACUAAUAGAUCAAUUUUAAAUUCAAGAAGUCAUUCAGGGCAUAUGUCAAGAAGUGUGUCUAGAUCUCCUGAAGCACGAAGACAGCGCUCCGUAUCUUCCGAUAGAAUGCGCUCACUAAGAAGGCGCUCAAUCACUCCUCGUCGAAGGCGUUCACCCAUAGAUUCACCCUCCCCACCUCGGAGGAAAUCAUCAUACUCCAGGCAUAUAUCUAGAUCUCCUUUAAGACGUAGGUCACCAUCCCCUAUACGUCGUAGAAUGCGUUCUCCCUUUCGACGUAGGUCACCUUCACCCUUGCAUGAUAGAUCGCCUUCACCAGUUCGACGUCGCAGAUCCCCUUCACCUGUUAGACGUCGCAGAUCCCCUUCACCUAUCAAACGUCGCAGAUCCCCUUCACCUAUCAGGCGCCGCAGAUCCCCGUCACCUAUCAGGCGCCGCAGAUCCCCAUUCCCUGUGCGCCGCAGAUCCCCAUUGCCUUUAAGGCGUAGAUCACCUUCACCUGUGUCGCGUAGAUCACCUUCACCACUUCGUCGUAGAUCACCCCUUUCCUUGCGACGCAGAUCACCAUCUCCUGUCCGUCGGGGGUAUCCAAGGUCUCCUUCUACUCCUUGUCGCAGGUCUCCUUCUCCUAUGCAACAUAGGUCAUCUAUUAUUUCACGCAAGAGAUCUCCAUCUCCUCAUCGCCGGUCUCCUUCGCCUUACACUUCAAGCUCUCCCUCUCCUGUCCAGCAUAGGUCCCCUUCUCCUGUGAAAUCUCCAAAGGAACACAGAUCACCUGUGCAGUCUCCUGGAGAAAGAGUUAGAUCACAACGAAAAUUGUUGCCUAUUCCACGCCGGUCCUCAAAUUCUUUGAGGUCACCACAAAGAGACCAGAAGGAUCUGAAAGAUUUAUGCAGUAGGUUGCCAGCUAUAUCUCCUUCACCAGAGAGGUCCCCACUACAGCCAGAAUCUCCACCAGUUGCAAGAAAGAGUGCCAGAAAAGACGGAAGGUCCCCUAGUCCAUAUGAGAGUCCUGCCAGGCAAAGAAAAGAGCAAAUUACACGUGAUGGUAGCUCAAGUCCUCAGAAACAUAGAGGGAGGAAACCUCUUAAGGAUAGUCCAGAAACUAGCAAAGACCAUGAAGAAACUGAUCAUACUCGGGAGGGUGGGGACUAUUAUUCUAGGUCAUCAUGGAAACGUCCUAUACAUCCAUCUAACAUUAAUAAGCAGAAAGAUUCUCCUGUGAAGGUUCACAACAAGGAUGAGCAAUCUUCUGAAAGAUUAGCCAGUCGUCGGACUACUGAUUCCAGAAACUAUCCAGAUAACAUGGAUUCGAGGAAGAAAGACCAGGAUAUAAAGAUUGGGAAGUCUUCUGGGAGGGGCGCUGAUCAUGAUCUUGAUGCAAAAAAAUCUCUAACUUUGUACAAGGACGAGAAAGACCGUUCAUGCUUAAACAGUUCUAAGGAUAGUGAUAAACAUCCCAAAUCAGAAACCGCACCAGUGACAGCUGAAAAAGUCCAUCAUAGUAAUGGCAGUGGUGCAUUGGAUUCUGGUUCUAAGGAAAGUGAUAAGCAGAGAGCAGAAAAGAGGGAAAAGUCAAAGCAUAAAAGGUCGCAUCGGCUUGAAGUGGCUUCGGAUGAUGAUGGCAGCUAUGGUUCUGAAAUUGAAGAGAGGAAAGAGGCUAAAAGGAGGAGGAAGGAAGAAAAGAAAUUGCGAAAGGAGGAGAAGCAUCGACGACGUGAGGAGCGACGCCGUAGGAGGGAGGAACGGCGUGCAGAGAAGCUAAAAUUGAAGGAUUGUGGUGAUGCUAGUUCUUCUGAUGAUGAACAUGUUGGUAGGAGGGAGUCCCGUCCAAUUGAUGAUGAGGAGAUAGAGUCUGAUCAGAAAAAACUUGAGAUUGAGUUAAGGAAGAAGGCUCUUGAAUCACUUAAAGCAAAGAAGGGCAUCAAUCGCUAAAUUUGUUACAGCAUUGAAUAUUAAGCUUUAUACUUUAAUCAUGUUAAGCCUUUUCUUUAUAUUUGCUAGGAGCUUUUGCUAUGGAUGGGUUUUUUUUUUUUGUGUAACCUUUUAAUGUAGUCUCUGUUUCCUGCUGGCAGCUGAAAUGGAUAGAUGAGGAUUUUCUGAGCUAUUCACUUGAGUGCACCUUUAUGCAGACCUUGCUGCUAGUUUUUCUGAUGAAAUUAUUGUCAGCUAGAUGACUUGCUUGAGCAGACCAUGUGCAGAUCCACAUUUGAGCAAGAUUCAGCUUGAGCAUUGUUCCUGGGACUUUGUUUUCUAAAAUUCUCCAGGUGCUGUAGUCUUGGGCUCGUCUUGUCCGGAUCUGAUAUUUGCUUGAUGUAUAUAGCAAAAAAAUGGCCAUGUAUAUAUAUAUGCAAUAGUUAACUCUAUAUGAACUAUUAUUUGCAUUUUGAAGGUGUUGAUCUCAUUCAUGAAUUAGCUUGAUUGGUUUUGGGUUGUUGGUAUUUA